GUCGAACGAGAAAGUCUUAGCUUGCUAGGGCGAGUAAAGUGGCGCACGGGUGAGUAACGCGUGGAUAAUCUACCUUUGAAUCUGGAACAACAUUGCGAAAGCGAUGCUAAUACCGGAUAACAUCGAGAUUUUUUUUGGAGAUUUUGAUCAAAGGCCGCCUCUGAUUUAAGCGGUUGUUUAAAGAUGAGUCCGCGUACCAUUAGCUAGUUGGUGGGGUAAAGGCCUACCAAGGCAACGAUGGUUAGCUGGUCUGAGAGGAUGAUCAGCCACACUGGAACUGACACACGGUCCAGACUCCUACGGGAGGCAGCAGUGAGGAAUUUUGCGCAAUGGGGGCAACCCUGACGCAGCAACGCCGCGUGAGUGAAGAAGGCUUUCGGGUCGUAAAGCUCUGUCAAGUGGGAAGAACGACUUGGUAUUUAAUAGAUAUUAGGUUUGACGGUACCACUAAAGGAAGCACCGGCUAACUCCGUGCCAGCAGCCGCGGUAACACGGGGGGUGCAAGCGUUAUUCGGAAUUAUUGGGCGUAAAGGGCGCGCAGGCGGUUAUGCAAGUCAGAUGUGAAAGCCCGGGGCUCAACCCCGGAAGAGCAUUUGAAACGGUAUAACUUGAGUAUGGGAGAGGGAAGUGGAAUUCCUGGUGUAGAGGUGAAAUUCGUAGAUAUCAGGAGGAACACCGGUGGCGAAGGCGACUUCCUGGACCAAUACUGACGCUGAGGCGCGAAGGCGUGGGUAGCAAACAGGAUUAGAUACCCUGGUAGUCCACGCAGUAAACGUUGUUCACUAGGUGUAGCGGGUAUUGACCCCUGCUGUGCCGUAGCAAACGCAUUAAGUGAACCGCCUGGGGAGUACGAUCGCAAGAUUAAAACUCAAAGGAAUUGACGGGGCCCGCACAAGCGGUGGAGCAUGUGGUUUAAUUCGACGCAACGCGAAGAACCUUACCUGGGCUUGACAUCUGCGGAAUAUUUUAGAAAUAAGAUAGUGCCUGUUUACAGGAGCCGCAAGACAGGUGCUGCAUGGCUGUCGUCAGCUCGUGUCGUGAGAUGUUGGGUUAAGUCCCGCAACGAGCGCAACCCCUAUCUUCAGUUACCAUCAAUUCGGUUGGGGACUCUGGAGAUACUGCCCCGGUUAACGGGGAGGAAGGUGGGGAUGACGUCAAGUCCUCAUGGCCUUUAUGUCCAGGGCUACACACGUGCUACAAUGGGUUGUACAAAGGGUAGCGACCUCGCGAGGGGGAGCCAAUCUCAUAAAGCAAUCCUCAGUUCGGAUUGGAGUCUGCAACUCGACUCCAUGAAGUUGGAAUCGCUAGUAAUCGUGGAUCAGCAUGCCACGGUGAAUACGUUCCCGGGCCUUGUACACACCGCCCGUCACACCAUGAGAGUUGACUGUACCAGAAGUUGUUGGGGUAACCUUCGGGGGCCAGGCACCUAAGGUAUGGUUGAUAAUUAGGGUGAAGUCGUAACAAGGUA
rnacentral:rRNA from 1 species